rnacentral:rRNA from 1 species
GACGGGGGAUGCAAGUGUUAUCCGGAAUCACUGGGCGUAAAGCGUCUGCAGGUGGUUUCCUAAGUCCACUGUUAAACCUUGAGGCUCAACCUCAAAUCUGCAUUGGAAACUAGGAGACUUGAGUAUAGUAGGGGUAGAGGGAAUUUCCAGUGGAGCGGUGAAAUGCGUAGAUAUUGGAAAGAACACCGAUGGCGAAGGCACUCUACUGGGCUAUUACUGACACUCAGAGACGAAAGCUAGGGAGCAAACGGG